UCUACAAAGCAGACACACUUGUGUAAGACCCACUUUGGUGGUUUCAUAAUCAACACAUCCAAGUGGCGACGACUACGACGUCGGCCAUUUUGCGGCCACCAUCAAAAAAUGCCCAGCAGAAGUGGCAGCCAACCACCUCCACCCACUGGGAAAACUCUUAGGAAAACUCUGCCCCCCGCUUCCCGCUCCGCACUUUCAUUCGCUCAGUCGUUGUGCAUAAAACGCUGCUUAUUAAAUUUCGCUCAAUUUUAAUAAGCAACUUUUUUGUGCGCACAUUCCCAAGAAACAAAGUGAAAAAUGCUGCAAUUAUGAGUGUUUCUCCUCAACCAAAUAUUUGUAUUAAAAAAGGAAAUCUGUGCAAGGCUAAUAUAGAAAGGUGCUCUUAUGCUCUUAAAAUAAAUUUUAAAAAUAAAAGUUAAAAACCAAUUAAGAAUGUAGAAAUGUUUUUUAAAGAAAUUAUCCUCCACAGAAGAGGCAAACCCAUUGGCUAAGCGACCAUACCCUUUCCUAACCCAAGUAAAAGAAAGUGUAUUUGGGCACAGGGUAAAGCAAAAAACAAAACAGCAACGGACUGUGAUGACUUUUAAUGAAUUUUUCACGCGCGCUUUGCAAAUGAAACUCAUUUUGCUGGGGCACGUUCUUCCCCCUCGCAUUUCGCAUUUGGCGGGGAGCGUUUUAAGCAGAUUUGCUCGCAUGAAAGCGAAAACUAGCGAGACUAAAAUGUUAUUACGCAUACGCUCUGUUGGCCGACGGAUGGCCCUUAAAUUUGGGUCAAUUUUAGUUGUUUUUCGUACACGAAAAAUUUCCAAGCGCAAGUGUUUCAGUUUUACUCGUUUCAUGUUUUUAUUUUUAUCAUUUUUUUGUAAGAAGACUCAGCUUGGACGACAGUUCAUCGACUGAGAAAUGUUUAAACAAAAGCCGAAGAAGCAACAAGCUUUUCUCUAGUUUUUGCAAACGAAAUGAAAGAAAUGAGUUCACGUGCCCCUCCGUUUAUUUUAAUUAAAUGAGCUGGGUUUUGUGGCCUAAUUAGUUUCACCUGUGUCAAUGUGCAAACAAAGCCGCCAAAGCAUAUGGAAUGUAUGCCAGGAGCUUUUGUUGCUGCUGAUGAAGAAGACAACAACGGACAUAUACACAAAUAUAUAUGGUAUGAUAUUAAAAGGUAGCCAGACGAGACUGCAUCCAAAACAAUACCAACAUUUACUGAAAAAUCCAUCCAGGGUAAAAGCUUCAUUUUGUGUUCCCUACACAAGGCACCAAUAAAGGAAAAGAAUAAACUCUGCCCAUGAA